GCGGGAUUGGCGUAAUUGGUAGCCGCGCAGGUUUUAGGUACCUGUGGUUUCGUACCGUGGGGGUUCGAGUCCCCCAUCCCGUACCA
rnacentral:tRNA from 1 species